rnacentral:rRNA from 1 species
UACGUAGGGGGCUAGCGUUGUUCGGAGUUACUGGGCGUAAAGAGUGCGUAGGCGGUUUCUAAGUUUGGUGUGAAAUCUCCCGGCUUAACUGGGAGGGUGCGCCGAAAACUGGAAGGCUUGAGUAUGGGAGAGGUAAGCGGAAUUCCUGGUGUAGCGGUGAAAUGCGUAGAUAUCAGGAGGAACACCUGCGGUGUAGACGGCUUACUGGACCAUAACUGACGCUGAGGCACGAAAGCGUGGGUAGCAAACAGG